UUUUUAAAUUACUGUGGUAUUUUGACUAUACAAAGGUAUUGAAAUAAGAUUUUAAUUUCGAAUGCUAAGAGAAUGGAAUUCUCAGAAAAAAACUUUUUUAAAAUUAAAAAUUCGAACUUUUUUUAAUUUGUGCAAAAACAAUUAUUUAAAUUAAGGACAAGAAGACCCUAAGAAUUUAUGAAUUUAAAUAAUGUAUUUUUAUAUUAAUUAAAUUUUGGCUGGGGCGGCUGAGAAAUAUUAAGAACUUUUUACCUUAACAUGACCCAUUAUUAAUGAUUAAAUGAAAAAUACUCUAGGGAUAACAGCGUUAUAUUUUUUGAUAGACCAUAUUGACAAAAAAGUUUGCGACCUCGAUGUUGGAUUAGGAUGCUAUUUUAAUGAAGAUAUUAAAAUAAGAAGUUUGUUCAACUUUUAAAUUCCUACUUGAUCU
rnacentral:rRNA from 1 species